rnacentral:tRNA from 1 species
GGCCUGUUACCUCAGUUGGUUAGAGCUCCGUGAUAUUAACGCGAAGGUCAUGAGUUCGAUACUGUUAUGGGCAG